CCCUGCCCCACAGCCGAGCGCCGCCCGACCCCGCCUCCAUCGACCCCGCGCCGCUGCGCCACCUCGCCUCCGCCCGCCGGUGCGUGCCGCCACCUCACCGGACCCAGGAGGCCCGCCGCCUCACGCUGCCGCCUGCGCCGCCACCUCCCCACAAGCUCGCCGCCCCACCGCGGAAGCCUUGUCGCCGGUCGCCCCGACCUCGAGAUCCGCCGCCGCCAUGGGAGCCGAGCACCGAGCUCCUCUGCGCCCCGCCCGCGUCCCCGCGUCGCCCCCACCUCCCCACAAGCUCGCCGCCCCGCCGCGGAAGCCUCGUCGCCGGUCGCCCCGACCUCGAGAUCCGCCGCCGCCAUGGGAGCCGAGCAUCGAGCUCCUCUGCGCCCCGCCCGCGUCCCCGUGUCGCCGCCGCCGCCCCACGCUGCCUCGCGGCCGUUGCGCCGCUGUAUGUUGUGCUCAAGACCGGGCUUUCUUCUAUUCCCCUUUCCAAGUCUUCCUCUCAUCUUAUCCAUUGGAGGCCGCAGCCGUCAUGUCGCUGCUGCUGCUGGUGGCGUGAUUGCCAUCGCUGUGAGAUUGCUGCUGUUCUUGGCGCCGCUUCUCGUCGUGGCCGCUGCCGUGUGGAGGCUGCUCCCGCUCCCCUGCUCCUUGCGUCGUCGUGGCCGCCGCCGCUGCCGGUGGAGCACGGGCUGCUGCUGGCCAUCGGCCCACCCCCGCUCUGUUGCUUCUCCAACUCCUUGUGUCACUCUUGGUUCGAUCUUUAGCGCUGGAGCAACAUAGUUCCUGUAGGUGGGUUAGCAUCUUGGCUGGAUUGUUUGAUGUGGCCUGUUUUGCUUGUUCAGGUAAAUCCUGAGGACGACAUGCAUGGGAGUCUUGGGAGUAGCAUCCUCCUUGCCGCACGAGCCUCCUCCUUGCUGCAUGGGCCUCCUCCUUGCCGGAGUGAUGCCCCUCACCGGAGCAGCGCCGACCAAGCCCAUCGGCCACCAGGUUGGAAGAAAAGAAGAAGAUCCAGAGAAGAUCUUAGUGAUAAGAUAGUUUUGACUUGGUGAAACUUGCUACCUAUGGAUGAAACUGUGUAAUAUUGAUGAAACUAUGUAUAUGCAUGUAUGGAUGAAACUUGCUACUAUUUGUAAUAUGUGUUGGAUAUAUAUGUGUUCA